UGCGGCUGGAUCCCCUCCUUUCUAGGGAUUGACUAGAACCUGUAUCGUCGCUCGCGACGAUGCUUGUAAGUUUUCGGCGUACCCGAAGCGCCUUCAACCUUCCUUCUUUUCGCAGCAGUUGUCGGGUUCCGCGUUCAGGGCCGAUCAGCCUCCGGUGGAACGGUGCCCCUCUCGCGAGGGGCGCCUCGGUCUGUCGAGACUCGGCCCAUAGCUCAGCUGGUUAGAGCACACGCCUGAUAAGCGUGAGGUCGGUAGUUCGAAUCUACCUGGGCCGACUUCGUUUUCCACGAAGGCGGCCGGCUCGCUUGUUCGGGGGUGUAGCUCAGUUGGGAGAGCGCGUGCUUUGCAAGCAUGAGGUCGUGGGUUCGAAUCCCAUCACCUCCAUGUGCGGCCGACACGGAGGACUUCUCCUGGAAGUCGUCCAAAACUGCGCGUCGGGAUGAGCGCUAUGGCUCGUCGACGAGUGCCCCUCGGGGCGCAAAGAAUGGUCUUUGAAAACUCAAUAUAGUGAAGUCACGAGAUCCUGAGUCAAAUAGCAAUGAAGUGGUGUCAGCCACGAUUUGCGUCUCAGAAAUUCAUCUCUGUGGUUAAGACGUGAAGGGUGUGUGGCGGAUGAUAUGGCGCCAAGAGCCGAUGAAGGACGUAGCACGGCUGCGAUAAGCCUCGGGGAGCUGCCAAGCAAGCGUAGAUCCGAGAAUUUCCGAAUGGGGAAACCCGG
rnacentral:misc_RNA from 1 species